UAGGGAAUCUUCGGCAAUGGACGAAAGUCUGACCGAGCAACGCCGCGUGAGUGAAGAAGGUUUUCGGAUCGUAAAAACUCUGUUGGUAGAGAAGAACGUUGGUGAGAGUGGAAAGCUCAUCAAGUGACGGUAACUACCCAGAAAGGGCGGCUAACUACGUGCCAC
rnacentral:rRNA from 1 species